GACGAACGCUGGCGGCGUGCUUAACACAUGCAAGUCGAACGAAGUGGCGAACGGGUGAGUAACGCGUAAUCACCCUGCCCUUCAGAGGGGGACAACAGUUGGAAACGACUGCUAAUAUCGCAUACUGAAGGUGGGGCUUGCGUCUGAUUAGCUAGUUGGAGGGGUAACGGCCCACCAAGGCCAUGAUCAGUAGCCGGUCUGAGAGGGUGAACGGCCACAUUGGGACUGGGACACGGCCCUGACUCCUACGGGAGGCAGCAGUGGGGAAUCUUCCGGAAUGGACGGAAAGCUGACGGAGCAACGCCGCGUGAGUGAUGACGGCCUUCGGGUUGUAAAGCUCUGUUAGUCGGGACGCGGUACCGGAAUAGAAAGCCACGGCUAACUACGUGCCAGCAGCCGCGGUAAUUC
rnacentral:rRNA from 1 species